rnacentral:rRNA from 1 species
UGGGGAAUAUUGCACAAUGGGCGCAAGCCUGAUGCAGCCAUGCCGCGUGUAUGAAGAAGGCCUUCGGGUUGUAAAGUACUUUCAGCGGGGAGGAAGGGAGUAAAGUUAAUACCUUUGCUCAUUGACGUUACCCGCAGAAUAAGCACCGGCUAACUCCGUGCCAGCAGCCGCGGUAAUACGGAGGGUGCAAGCGUUACUCGGAAUUACUGGGCGUAAAGCGCACGCAGGCGGUUUGUUAAGUCAGAUGUGAAAUCCCCGGGCUCAACCUGGGAACUGCAUCUGUGACUGGCCAGCUUGAGUCUCGUAGAGGGGGGUAGAAUUCCAGGUGUAGCGGUGAAAUGCGUAGAGAUCUGGAGGAAUACCGGUGGCGAAGGCGGCCCCCUGGACGAUGACUGACGCUCAGGUGCGAAAGCGUGGGGAGCAAACAGG